rnacentral:lncRNA from 1 species
CGGGACUUUGGUUAGUAUAUUGUCAAACCUGUCAAGCAUUACCUAUCAUUUUUUUAGCAAAUAGCUUGAGAUCUCUUCUUAAUGUCUCUUUCCAACACAAUGUAGGGAUCCGGCCACGGAUCAAACAUAGGUGGUACUCCUGGUGAUGGUACUCCUGCUUCACGGAACCCGAUCACCCCACUUCAUAACCCAGGUGGUAAUGCUGGUGGUGCUUCUACCUCGAGCCAUGGAUCGCCUCUUUUUGUAAGUCCCCUAUUCUCAAGAUGCAAUUUUCAUAGUUACAACAUUUCCGAAGACGCAAACUUAGAACUAGUCAAGAUGCCAUCCUAAACGGCCAUGAUUCUUCAUUUUGUAGUGAUGAUGCUAUUUGGAGGUUGCCUUUGGGUUCUGACGAUGGGCGGUGCUCGUCGGCCGACAGCUUCGACUUCGGCUAGGACUUCGACUUUCUGAAGUGGAUGCUAUGUUAGAUGAAGGUUUUUACGUUGGAUGCUAUGUAGUGGAUGCUCUAUGGUUGAUAUUCAUGCUAUGUGGGAUGAUAUGAUAUUAAUGUUUGAUGUUCAUGUUAUAUUUUUUAUGUUGAUGC